GUGUUGGAGCUGGGCCAGGCUGGAGGGGCGGACAAGGCCCUGGCCGCAGAGCCCUCUGAGGGGUGGUGGGCAGUGGGAAGCCAGUGAAGGGUGUGGACUGGGGAGGGCAGAGUCGGAUUUGCUUUUGAUGGAGCUCCCUCUGGCUCCCCGUGGAGGGCCAGCUGGAGGAGCAGAGACCAGUGAUGCGGAUGUUGCAAUAGUCCUGGCCAGCAGGGAUGAGCUCAGAACGAAGGCAACAGCCGUGGGGAGAGAAUAAAGUCAUGGGAUCGCAUGGAUGAGGGAGAGGGAGGAGUCCAGGUGCUGCCCGCAUCUGUCCCCGGGAAUCAGGCCCCUGCUGGGCUCUGUGGCAUGGAGGUACUGGCCUACAGCGGGAGACGGACGGAGGGUCCUGGGAGCCAUAGCUGACAUCUAGAAGGAUGGAUCACUCCACCGAGGAGGUGGUAAAGAAGUGGCUAUGGAGGUUGCCAAGACCGUUCAAUGGGGAGAGAAGAGCCUUUCAACAAAUAGUGCUGGGACAACUGGAUACACUCCUGCAAAAGAAUGAAGUCGGACCCCUACUUCACACCAUAUACAAAAAUUAACUUUAAAUAGAUUGAAGACCUAAAUGUAAGAACUAAACUCUAAGACUCUUAAAAGAAAACAUAGAGGUAAAUCGUCAUGACCUCAAAUUUGGCAAUGGUUCCUCAGAUAUGACACCAAAAUCACAAGUAACAAAAGAAAAAGAUAGCUGCCCAGCCGGCGUGGCUCAGUGGUUGAGUGUCGACCUGUGAACCAAGAGGUCGAAGUUCGAUCCCCAAUCAGGGCACAUACCCGGGUUGCAGGCUCGAUCCCCAGAGUGGGGGUAUGCAGGAGGCAGCCAAUCAAUGGUUCUCUCUCAUCAUCGAUGUUUCUAUCUCUCCCUCUCCCUUUCUCUCUGAAAUCAAUAAGCAUAUUUUUUAAGUGUGAAAAAAAUAGAUACAUUGGAUUGCCUCAAAAUUAAACAUUUGUGUUUCAAAGGACACUAUCAAGAAAGUUAAAAGAAAACUCACAAAAUAUUUGCAAACAUAUUUCAAAUGACUGAAGAGAAUAUGUUCUAUAAAAGACUCCUCUUGGAAACUUCUUCAUGGUGGGCGUGGAAGGGGGAGACCCUUCCCCGUGUGCAGAGUGCAACCAUUCUGCCCUGCCCUUCAUGGAGUAAGUUUGCCCACGGGGGAUCUGGCCAUAUAGGAAAUUAGGGAAAUGAGAAUGGGAGGAGGGUGGGAAGAAGCAGGGACCCUUGCCCCCAGGGCAGCCACAGUUCUCUGGGAACUUGCUCACAAAUUCCCCAAAUUCUCCCAUAUUAAUUUUAGAACAAGUCUUCAAAACCCGAGGAGUCUAGGGGACGACCUGGCGCCAGUUCGGGCUGCUCUCAGAAAGGGGACAGCACGAGGGAGAGGCUGUCUGGCCUGGCCUCCUGGC